AACGCUGGCGGCGCGCUUAACACAUGCAAGUCGAGCGAGAACCUGGCCUUCGGGCCAGGGGACAGCGGCGAACGGGUGAGUAACACGUGGGUAAUCUGCCCUUGACAUCGGGAUAGCCCGGGGAAACCCGGAUUAAUACCGAAUAGCCUCCGGAGCCUUCGGGCGCCGGAGAAAAGGUAGCUUCGGCCUCUGGUCAAGGAUGAGCCCGCGGCGGAUUAGCUUGUUGGCGGGGUAACGGCCCACCAAGGCGACGAUCCGUAGCUGGUCUGAGAGGACGAUCAGCCACACUGGGACUGAGACACGGCCCAGACUCCUACGGGAGGCAGCAGUGGGGAAUCUUGCGCAAUGGGCGAAAGCCUGACGCAGCGACGCCGCGUGAGGGAGGAAGGCCUUCGGGUUGUAAACCUCUUUCAGGAGGGACGAAGCUACUCGGGUGAAUAGCCCAGAGGGUGACGGUACCUCCAGAAGAAGCCCCGGCUAACUACGUGCCAGCAGCCGCAGUAACAC
rnacentral:rRNA from 1 species